CAAUAGAACUUAUCUCCUUUGGGGUAUUCCAAUAAUCAAAUCAUCAUGGAUACAAGGUUAUAAUCACACAAAAUAAAGCAACUAAUAACUUAUAGAUACUUUAGAGGAUUAAUCCCAAAUCCUGUAUUAGGGUCUCAGAGAAAACACAUAUCAAACACACAAAUCAGCAGAAUUUACCAUAGUCAAGAAAACACCGUAGCUCAUCAAUAUACAAAGAAAAUAAAGGGAAACUCAUAACCAUCUCUAAGGACGAUGAUAGGAGGAUAAAGAACACUCAUUAUCUUGUAAGCCUAAAUCACCUAAGUGCGGACAAUUCUCCCCCUUCCUCGAUUUUGUCGUAAGGUUGAUUUUCUUGAAAAUUCCUUAAAGCCUUGCUCCCAAACCUUUACAUUCUUCCAAAAAAACUCACCGCCUCUUUAAC
rnacentral:lncRNA from 1 species